AACGAACGCUGGCGGCAUGCCUAACACAUGCAAGUCGAACGAGACCUUCGGGUCUAGUGGCGCACGGGUGCGUAACGCGUGGGAACCUGCCCUUAGGUUCGGAAUAACUCCCCGAAAGGGGUGCUAAUACCGGAUAAUGUCUUCGGACCAAAGAUUUAUCGCCUUUGGAUGGGCCCGCGUUGGAUUAGCUAGUUGGUAGGGUAAAAGCCUACCAAGGCGACGAUCCAUAGCUGGUCUGAGAGGAUGAUCAGCUACACUGGGACUGAGACACGGCCCAGACUCCUACGGGAGGCAGCAGUGGGGAAUAUUGGACAAUGGGCGAAAGACUGAUCCAGCAAUGCCGCGUGAGUGAGGAAGGCCUUAGGGUUGUAAAGCUCUGUUAACCGGGAUGAUAAUGACAGUACCGGGAGAAUAAGCGCCGGCUAACUCCGUG
rnacentral:rRNA from 1 species